rnacentral:rRNA from 1 species
ACGAGGUCGGUACUUAAUACAUGCAAGUCGAGGGGCAGCACGGGUAGCAAUAUCUGGUGGCGACCGGCGCACGGGUGCGUAACACGUAUACAAUCAAUAAACAGGGGGAUAGCCCUBMGAAAGUWGGAUUAAUACCCCAUAAUAAAUUGAAUGGCAUCAUUUGAUUUUGAAAGUUCCGAGGUUAAAGAUGAGUAUGCGUCGUAUUAGCUAGUUGGUGAGGUAACGGCUCACCAAGGCDACGAUGAGUAGGGGAUCUGAGAGGACAUNCCCCCACAUUGGUACUGAGACACGGACCGGACUCCUACGGGAGGCAGCAGUGAGGAAUAUUGGUCAAUGGGCGCAAGCCUGAUCCAGCCAUGCCGCGUGCAGGAUGACGGUCCUAUGGAUUGUAAACUGCCUUAUACGGGAAGAAACACUCCUUCGUGUAGGAGCUUGACGGUAUCGUAAGAAUAAGGAUCGUUUAACUCCGUGCCAGCAGCCGCGGUAAUACGGAGGAUCCAAGCGUUAUCCGGAAUCAUUGGGUUUAAAGGGAGCGUAGGUGGACUUAUUAAGUCAGUGGUGAAAUCUCAUCAGCUUAACGAGAAACUGCCAUUGAUACUGCAAGUCUUGAGUACAGAUGAUGUAACUAGAAUAUGACAGUGUACUCGGUGAUAUUACUUAGAGAUGUCAUAGAAAUUCCAAUUGCGAAGGCAGCUUACUAAACUGUAACUUGACGCUGAGGCACGAAAGUGCGGGGAUCAAACAGGCUAGAUACCCUGGUAGUCCGCACCGUAAACGAUGAUUACUCGUUGUUGGCGAUAUGACAGUUUGCGACCAAGCGAAAGCGAUAAGUAAUCCACCUGGGGAGUACGCCGGCAACGGUGAAACUCAAAGGAAUUGACGGGGGCCCGCACAAGCGGAGGAGCAUGUGGUUUAAUUCGAUGAUACGCGAGGAACCUUACCUGGGCUUGAAAGUUAGUGACCGUCUCUGAACGGAGAUCUUCCGCAAGGACACGAACCUAGGUGCUGCAUGGCCAUUCGUCAGCUCGUGCCGUGAGGUGUUGGGUUAAGUCCCGCAACGAGCGCAACCCCUACCAUUAGUUAUCAGCGAGUAAUGUCGGGAACCUAAUGGAAAUUGCCCGUGCAAACGGUGAGGAAGGUGGGUAUGAUGUCAAUCAUCACGGCCCUUAGGUCCAGGGCUACACACGUGCUACAAUGGCCGGUAUUAACGGGGAGCUACACAGCGAUGUGAUGCUAAUCUUUAAAACCCGGUAUUAAUUCGGAUUGACGUCUUGAACUUGACUUCCUGAAACUGGAUUCGCUAGCCAUCGCCCUUCAGGCAAUGGCCCGGCAAAUACCUUCCCGGGCCUUGUACACCCCGCCCGUCAAGCCAUGAAAGCUGGGAGUAUCUAAAAUCGGUAGCCGCAAGGCGCCGUUUGAGGAUUAAGCUAUG